rnacentral:lncRNA from 1 species
AUGCAGGUCUAUAUAAUGAACUCUUUGUCCUCAGGAAGGAGCCAAGGAGUGGAAGACGACAAUGAGCAGCAUCCGACAGGAGAUGACCGUGAUGGUGGACUCGACAGACAAGAGCUAUGUCGAGCAAGGUGCAAACUGCGGCUAGAUGUUCUCGUUCAUGGACACGCACAAUCUGAACGGGAGAGACCCAUUUGUGCCAACUGCAGUUUUAGGAGCACAACAUAAACAGCUUCAAGGUAUAUAACAAUUCAUCGUAGCGAGAAUUCCAUCCUCUGCUCUUCUGCUUCCUAAUUCUCUCUACAAGAGUUUACAGGCGCACCUCUUUUUAUUGCACUUCACAGAUAUUGUGUUUUUUCGAGUCCCUCCACCAGCAAAAGGGUUUUGACUCACUGAAGGCUCAGUUGAUGGUUAGCAUUUUUUAACAAUAAAGUAUUUUUAAAUUAAGAUAUCUACGUUAUU